AUCACGGUUAUGUACUUACGGAAGAUUAAUUAUUAAUAUACUACCCUACAUAAUGACGAUUAUGAAAGUGCUGGAAACUUUUAAAAGAGCAGGGAUACAGGCGCGCCUUCUAUCUGGUAAAUGACGUCAUAAAGGCGUUCGAAAUUGACGAUAUUUUCCGGUGAAAGACAUGAUUCCAGCAAUGACCUAUUGUAAAUACAUUUAAAUAAGAAGAUGUGGUAUAAGUGCCAAAGAGACAACAUUACAACAAAGUCACAAUGUAGAAAAUGUAGUAAAUGUUAA
rnacentral:lncRNA from 1 species